rnacentral:rRNA from 1 species
UGGGGAAUAUUGGACAAUGGGCGAAAGCCUGAUCCAGCCAUGCCGCGUGUGUGAAGAAGGUCUUCGGAUUGUAAAGCACUUUAAGUUGGGAGGAAGGGCAGUAAGUUAAUACCUUGCUGUUUUGACGUUACCAACAGAAUAAGCACCGGCUAACUUCGUGCCAGCAGCCGCGGUAAUACGAAGGGUGCAAGCGUUAAUCGGAAUUACUGGGCGUAAAGCGCGCGUAGGUGGUUCGUUAAGUUGGAUGUGAAAGCCCCGGGCUCAACCUGGGAACUGCAUCCAAAACUGGCGAGCUAGAGUAUGGCAGAGGGUGGUGGAAUUUCCUGUGUAGCGGUGAAAUGCGUAGAUAUAGGAAGGAACACCAGUGGCGAAGGCGACCACCUGGGCUAAUACUGACACUGAGGUGCGAAAGCGUGGGGAGCAAACAGG